rnacentral:rRNA from 1 species
CCCUUAGAUGUUCUGGGCCGCACGCGCGCUACACUGACGAUGGCAACGAGUUUUUCCUUCGCCGAAAGGUGUGGGUAAUCUUUUGAAACAUCGUCGUGCUGGGGAUAGAUCAUUGCAAUUUUUGAUCUUGAACGAAGAAUUCCUAGUAAGCGCGAGUCAUCAGCUCGCGUUGAUUACGUCCCUGCCCUUUGUACACACCGCCCGUCGCUACUACCGAUUGAAUGGUUUAGUGAGGACUCCUGAUUGGCGCCGCCGCCCCGGCAACGGAGCAGCGGACUGCCGAAAAGUUGUUCAAACUUGAUCAUUUAGAGGAAGUAAAAGUCGUAACA